CCGUGUUAGCCAGGAUGGUCUUGAUCUCCUGACCUCAUGAUCCGCCCACCUCAGCCUCCCGAAGUGCUGGGAUUACAGGCGUGAGCCACGGCGCCCAGCCAGGGAAAGCAUUUUGUGGUUUCAGAGAUCCCACUAAGUGCUCUCCCCUAGAUUUGUGAGAUCCUGCUCUCGAUGGAUAAGUGGACACUACCCAGACCAAUAAUCUGACUCAACCAGUUCUGUGAUCUCACCCAGGAAGAGAAGAUAGCAAGAAAACCUCACUUCAACUUCCCCUAUGAUUCCAUCCCCAAUCUGACCAAUCAGCAUUCCCCACUUCCUGAACCCCUACUCACCAAAUUAUCUUUAAAAACUCCAAUCCCUGAAUGCUUGGAGAGACUGAUUUGAGUAACAAUAAAACUUCAGUCUCCUGCA